rnacentral:misc_RNA from 1 species
GAUGAAGAACGUAGCGAAAUGCGAUAAGUAAUGUGAAUUGCAGAAUUCAGUGAAUCAUCGAAUCUUUGAACGCACAUUGCGCCCGCCAGCACUCUGGCGGGCAUGCCUGUUCGAGCGUCAUUUCAACCAUCAAGCCCCCAGGGGCUUGUGCUGGGGCCCUGCGGCUGCCCGCAGGCCCUGAAAACCAGUGGCGGGCUCGCUAGUCACACCGAGCGCAGUAGCACUUCUCGCUCAGGGCGUGCGGCGGGCUCCUGCCGUGAAACCCCCCACUGUAACCCCAAAGGUUGACCUCGGAUCAGGUAGGAAUACCCGCUGAACUUAAGCAUAUCAAUAAGCGGAGGA